rnacentral:rRNA from 1 species
AUUGAACGCUGGCGGCAGGCUUAACACAUGCAAGUCGAGCGGGGUGAGGUGCUUCGGUACUGAUCCUAGCGGCGGACGGGUGAGUAAUGCUUAGGAAUCUGCCAUUUAGUGGGGGACAACAUUCCGAAAGGGAUGCUAAUACCGCAUACGUCCUACGGGAGAAAGCAGGGGAUCUUCGGACCUUGCGCUAAAUGAUGAGCCUAAGUCGGAUUAGCUAGUUGGUGGGGUAAAGGCCUACCAAGGCGACGAUCUGUAGCGGGUCUGAGAGGAUGAUCCGCCACACUGGGACUGAGACACGGCCCAGACUCCUACGGGAGGCAGCAGUGGGGAAUAUUGGACAAUGGGCGGAAGCCUGAUCCAGCCAUGCCGCGUGUGUGAAGAAGGCCUUUUGGUUGUAAAGCACUUUAAGCGAGGAGGAGGCUACCUGGAUUAAUACUCUGGGAUAGUGGACGUUACUCGCAGAAUAAGCACCGGCUAACUCUGUGCCAGCCGCCGCGGUAAAAC